GACGAACGCUGGCGGCGUGCCUAAUACAUGCAAGUAGAACGCACAGUUUAUACCGUAGCUUGCUACACCAUAGACUGUGAGUUGCGAACGGGUGAGUAACGCGUAGGUAACCUGCCUGGUAGCGGGGGAUAACUAUUGGAAACGAUAGCUAAUACCGCGUAAUAUUGAUUAUUGCAUGAUAAUUGAUUGAAAGAUGCUAUUGCAUCACUACCAGAUGGACCUGCGUUGUAUUAGCUAGUAGGUGAGGUAACGGCUCACCUAGGCGACGAUACAUAGCCGACCUGAGAGGGUGAUCGGCCACACUGGGACUGAGACACGGCCCAGACUCCUACGGGAGGCAGCAGUAGGGAAUCUUCGGCAAUGGACGAAAGUCUGACCGAGCAACGCCGCGUGAGUGAAGAAGGUUUUCGGAUCGUAAAGCUCUGUUGUAAGAGAAGAACGGGUGUGAGAGUGGAAAGUUCACACUGUGACGGUAUCUUACCAGAAAGGGACGGCUAACUACGUG
rnacentral:rRNA from 1 species